CCUACGUGUGGCAGCAGUGGGGAAUAUUGCACAAUGGGGGAAACCCUGAUGCAGCGACGCCGCGUGAGCGAUGAAGUAUUUCGGUAUGUAAAGCUCUAUCAGCAGGGAAGAAAAUGACGGUACCUGACUAAGAAGCCCCGGCUAACUACGUGCCAGCAGCCGCGGUAAUACGUAGGGGGCAAGCGUUAUCCGGAUUUACUGGGUGUAAAGGGAGCGUAGACGGCAGCACAAGUCUGGAGUGAAAUGCCGGGGCUAAACCCCGGAACUGCAUUGGAAACUGUGCAGCUAGAGUGCAGGAGAGGUAAGUGGAAUUCCUAGUGUAGCGGUGAAAUGCGUAGAUAUUAGGAGGAACACCAGUGGCGAAGGCGGCUUGCUGGACUGUAACUGACGUUGAGGCUCGAAAGCGUGGGGAGCAAACAGGAUUAGAUACCCUAGUAGUC
rnacentral:rRNA from 1 species